CACCACCAUUGAUUCAUUCUCUUCUGUGGAACGGUGCAGAAGAGAUAUACCCUUUUUGUUUUUCCAUUUGUCAAAGUAGCAGUAUACGAGUCGCCGCCUGUCGUCCUGCUCUGCAGUGUCGGCGAGACCCCCAACUCGCUCGCUCGCGUACACGUAAAACACGCCGCAUCUCCCCGUCUUUCACUGCCUCGGUUCAGCGCCCCAGGUUUUCCAAAAGAAAUAGACGACGCCGCACAGUGGGAGCACAGGCGCCCGGAAUUAAAAACGCAAAGGAAAGGCAAAAAGGAAAAAGGUCCAAGGCCGUCUCCUGACCAGCCCCCGUCGACCACCCAGCAAGGGGUCCACUCGCCGCCUCCAUUCCUCCUUUUGCUCCGUCUUUUCGCUGUCCACCUCACACUCUCCAGACCCUCUGGCCUUUAGGUCUGCAUUUCGUCCCAGUCUGCGAAUUUGAACCUGUUCAGUUCUUGUUCUGCCACCAAACCCACCAAUUCCAGGGUUAUCCCAUCGACCCAUCCCAGCAUCCUGCCAGCAUAAUUUCGGACAACCGCAGAGAAGGGCAAAGAAGGUCAAAACCAAGCACCACGCGAGCCUCAGUCCAGGGUCCCAGCUCAGAAACACAAGAGCCUUCACAUCACCGCGUAGCAGUCGGUGCUCGCUAUCUCAAGGCUUCCUCGUCUACACCUCUCCGCAAACGUCUUGGCCAAAACAAACGACUAGGGUCUUUUUCAUCACUACACCACUUCCCCCCCGACUUUUGCCUAUUACCUAUACCAAAAAAAAAAGUAGAGGGUAGGGUACGUUUCGAUAUCCUGACGUCGUCGGUUCUGCUUCGGCCCAGCCCGUCCUCUGCAAAAGGCAACCCUCGACCACUUAGCCCACGGGCCCACGACCCACGCUUUAGCUUCCUCGCUGCUGCCCCGUGCAGCCUUUUCCAGUUUCCCCCCUCCCCCUUUUUUUGGGUGCCUACGAUCGCUUGCUCGCUCGGAAAAAAAAAAGCGCCUUUACCCCUUGAACACUCUAUCUUUGCGACACCAUUCGCAUCCACAACAGUCCAGUUUGGUUUGGACACACGGGACGACACGUUGGUGGCAAAAAAAAAAAAGAAAAAGAAAAAUAGAUACCGCCUUACCAAGAGGACGGACGCAAGAGGGAAUCGCUCCACAGGCGGACACUUUCGUCCCAUCCAUACCGACACACCUCUCCUGUGACCCUUUCCGGUCGCAGCG